AGUGAACGCUGGCGGUAGGCCUAACACAUGCAAGUCGAACGGCAGCACAGUAAGAGCUUGCUCUUACGGGUGGCGAGUGGCGGACGGGUGAGGAAUACAUCGGAAUCUACUUUUUCGUGGGGGAUAACGUAGGGAAACUUACGCUAAUACCGCAUACGACCUACGGGUGAAAGCAGGGGAUCUUCGGACCUUGCGCGAUUGAAUGAGCCGAUGUCGGAUUAGCUAGUUGGCGGGGUAAAGGCCCACCAAGGCGACGAUCCGUAGCUGGUCUGAGAGGAUGAUCAGCCACACUGGAACUGAGACACGGUCCAGACUCCUACGGGAGGCAGCAGUGGGGAAUAUUGGACAAUGGGCGCAAGCCUGAUCCAGCCAUACCGCGUGGGUGAAGAAGGCCUUCGGGUUGUGAAGCCCUUUUGUUGGGAAAGAAAAGCAGCAGGUUAAUACCCAGCUGUUCUGACGGUACCCAAAGAAUAAGCACCGGCUAACUUCGUG
rnacentral:rRNA from 1 species